rnacentral:rRNA from 1 species
GACGAACGCUGGCGGCGUGCCUAAUACAUGCAAGUAGAACGCUGAAGAGAGGAGCUUACUCUUCUUGGAUGAGUUGCGAACGGGUGAGUAACGCGUAGGUAACCUGCCUUGUAGCGGGGGAUAACUAUUGGAAACGAUAGCUCAUACCGCAUAACAAUGGAUGACACAUGUCGUUUAUUUGAAAGGGGCAAUUGCUCCACUACAAGAUGGACCUGCGUUGUAUUAGCUAGUAGGUGAGGUAAUGGCUCACCUAGGCGACGAUACAUAGCCGACCUGAGAGGGUGGUCGGCCAGCCUGGGACUGAGACACGGCCCAGACUCCUACGGGAGGCAGCAGUAGGGAAACUUCGGCAAUGGGGGCAACCCUGACCGAGCAACGCCGCGUGAGUGAAGAAGGUUUUCGGGUCGUAAAGCUCUGUUGUAAGUCAAGAACGGGUGUGAGAGUGGAAAGUUCACACUGUGACGGUAGCUUACCAGAAAGGGACGGCUAACUACGUG